GUCUCUUUGAGGACAUCCAAUAGAAUUGAAACGAUACACAGAAAAUUAACAUGGCUCAGAUGACACGCACAAAGUGAGAUGGCUUUAUGAUUUGU
rfam:Helianthus annuus linkage group 12, whole genome shotgun sequence.